CUCUGCUGGAAUCUGGGGAAACAGAUAUGUUUAGGACAUGAUACCUGUCCUCACAGAUGUCAGCAGAAGAAAUGGACAUCCUCACGGGAACACAAUACGAGUCAACACAUCUCUCACCCAAAAUCCUCAGGGAUCAAGACUCCAGAAGUGGAGAGGGUGUGCAGCUGCUGUGGGACUCCAUCUACAGACGAUCCAGGAGGGGACCUCCUGCCAGAUAUCUUGCAGUCUGUUCCCAGCCUGUGGGGACAAGCAGACUCCUCUCCCUCUUCCAGAUGGGUUUAAAUUCCAGUCAAUCCUGAUGGUCUCCGGUAAUGGUGGCUAGUCGGUGAUGCUUGUCUCUGACCUUGAAGGUGUGUCCUGGAUGAGCCACCCAUUGCCUGAUUCACGGAUGAAUUGAGCCAAUCCUAGGCUUCCUGGGAGGACUCCCACAAACCAACCCAGCCAGGCAGGCCCCAGCUGACUCUGGACACUCUCCUGAGGCAGUACAGUAGCAUGAGCACUGGACCUAGAGUCCAAGAUACAGAUCUGAGUUCUGACACUGCCACCUGCCAGCUGGGUGACACUCAUUCUAAAGGCAUUUACUACACGGCUCGGCUCCUGUGGCUCAAGUGGCUAAGGCGCCAGCCACAUACACUUAAGCUGGCGGGUUCAAAUCCAAACCGGACCCGCCAAACAACAAUGACAGCUGCAACCAAAACAUAGUUCGGCAUUGUGGUGGGUGCCUGUAGUCCCAGCUACUUGGCAGGAGAAUCGCUUGAGCCCAGGAGUUGGAGGUUGCUGUGAGCUGUGAUGCCACAGCACUCUACCCAGGGUGACAGCUUGAGGGUCUGUCUCAAAAAAAUAAAAAUAAAAGUAAAAAUAAAAUAAAGGCAUUUACUGAUCUAGCAACUUGCUGUUAGAGUCCAUGCUAGGUACUGCAGUAUAAAUAAUGCUAAUGAGAUUGCUCCUAGCUUAUAGUCCAAGAAGCUUACUUUACUUCUUUGAGCCUCCAUUUUCUUUUUCUUUUCUUUUUUUUUUUUUUUUUUUGAGCCUCCAUUUUCUAAUCUGAAAAAGGGGGAUAAUAAUACAGACCUACAGCUCGGCACCUGUGGCUCAAGAGGCUAAGGCGCCAGCCAAAUACACCUGAGCUGGCGGGUUUGAAUCCAGCCCGGGCCCGCCAAACAACAAUGAUGACUGCCACCAAAAAAUAGCCAGGCAUUGUGACAGGCACCUGUGGUCCCAGCUACUUGGGAGGCAGAGGUAGGAGAAGAAUCGCUUGAGCCCAGGAGUUGGAGGUUGCUGUGAGCUGUGAUGCCACAGCACUCUACCCAGGGCAAUGGCUUGAGGCUCUGUAUCAGAAAAAAAAAAAUAUACAGGCCUACAACUUCUUAUCUAAAGCCCUUGGGGCCUAAUGUAUUUCCUAACUCAGAAUUUUUCAGUUUUCAGAAAAACUGAAAAAUUUAUACCAUGCAUUACAGGAUAAAUACAGUAGAGCCUCUAUAGUUAACCACCUCCCUACAUUGAGCACCCCAUAAGCUUACCUAAUUUUCAUAGACCAGACACGCACGGCAUGAAUGUCUCAGUACAGUAGGCCUAGUCCUGAUGUUGACCACCUGUGUAUGUUAACCAGUUUGUUAUAGUCUUUUGGGUGUUCACUCACAGAGGUUCUACUAUAAUAACAUAUAACUAAGAAAACAAAUGACCGUCCACCUAGGGUGGGAUGGAUUCCUCCCCUCCCUGAAUGCACAUACUGCUCCUCCCAUUCGGAAAUGAGUUUAUUUCCCUUCCCCUUGAACCUGGGGUUGGACUGCUUUGACCAACAGAACGUGGCAGAAGAGACAGGGUACCAGUUCUGGGCCCAGUCGCUGAAAGGACUUGCAGCUCUGCCUUGGUCUCUUGGAGCAUGAGUUGCCCUGGAGACUUUAACUACCCUGCUGGGGAGAUCAUGGAGAGGGGAAGGAGCUCAACCAAGCCCAGCCACCCAAAUGUCCUCAUCUAGGCACCAGACGUGUGUAAAUCACAUGUUGGGGGGUGUCCUGAAACAAAUCACACACACACAAGGGGUGACAGUCCCUUGUCAGGGUCUUGGACUAGGAAUGUCUUCUUUGCUUUAUAACAACCCUUUCAUUUCCCAUUUUCCUAACUUCCUUCAAAUGGGUCCCUUCAAUUAUAAAUCAUGUAAAGCAAAUCAAG